GGCAAAAGCAAACCCUCUUUCACACCAUGAGUCGUAAAGGUUAUGCACGAUUAGAGGAUGAAAUGAGAAGAGAAAGUUGAGCACCAUCAUCCAUAUCAAGAGUUGAUGUUUGGAUUAAAGGGCAUAUGAGGAAGGAAGGAAAAUCCAUGAAUGAAGUGCUUGAUGCAACUGUG